rnacentral:lncRNA from 1 species
UGUGUAUGUGUGUGUGGGCAGCCAGGUCAGUCACAGUGUGCUGGUCUCUGUGACACACACCCUGCAGUGGUGUCCCCUGCCUGCAGCAAGCUGUUGUUUGAGCCUGGGCCAGAGCUAAGCUGUGUCCUGGUGGACUGUCACUCCUGCUUACAUCUGCCCUCUGAUCAAAGCCUCUACCAAUGCCCCCUGUGGCCAUCAUGGCUCACCCCAUACCCUCCUUUUCAUUCCUCCCUCUCUCCCUCUCUCCUUUCUCUCUCUUCCUCCGCUCCACCAACCUUGACUCCUGCCCCCUCGCCAUGGCUUGGCUGGCACACGGAGGAUCAGACGCCAGGCUGCUACCACAGCACAGACUGGCAGAGAGAGAGAGAGAGAGAGAGAGAGAGAGAGAGAGAGAGAGAAGAUGGUGAAAGACAGAGAAAGAUAAAGGGAAAGAGAGAGAUGGAGAGAAAAGGUGAAUGACAGAAAGAGAAAGCGAGAGAGAAAGAGACAGAGGAACGGGACAUACUAAGGCAUCGUGGUAUAUCGAGGGGGGACAGACAGAGAGACUGAACGAGGCUGGCUGUUUGGUUGAUGACCCCGUUGAGACACCUUCUUUAUGAUGUCAUAAACAGAAAGGCUAUGGCCAGACUGCUCAUCCAUUAGAAUGACCUUCCUUUUCAUGAUCAGCUCUUGUCAGUAGGCAGCCCCUUUUACAGCCCAGGUAAUGGAUGUUUAUAUAUACAUGCUAUGAUGGCCAAUGUAGCCAUAUAAUUCGACAUAACCAUAUAAUGAUAAUUAUAUCGUCGCAUAGCAGUAAUCCCACCAGCUUGCAUACUUAAUGGGUGGUGAUUGACAGUUUGGAAUAAAUCUUCUCAUUUGGUUGUAGUCACUGGAAUUAAUUACCAGCCAAUUGUGUCAGACAUAUUAAUUUAGGAGAUUAUACAUUCCAUUAACGGAGUACCUUAUUAGCUAGGGUUACAUACGCUAUGCUUGGGUUUCUGCAUUGAAAUGAAAUCGCAUCAGGCAAGAAAUGAGGAACAAAUUUCCAAGGCCAUUGGAAGGAGCUGGAGGGGGAGCCAUUGGAAGGAGCUGGAGGGGGAGCAAUUAGAAGGAGCUGGAGGGGCAUCCAUUGGAAGGAGCUGGAGGGGGAUCCAUUGGAAGGAGCUGGAGGGGGAGCAAUUAGAAGGAGCUGGAGGGGCAUCCAUUGGAAGGAGCUGGAGGGGGAUCCAUUGGGAGGAGCUGGAGGGGGAGCCAUUGGAAGGAGCUGGAGGGGGAGCAAUUAGAAGGAGCUGGAGGGGCAUCCAUUGGAAGGAGCUGGAGGGGGAUCCAUUGGGAGGAGCUGGAGGGGGAUCCAUUGGAAGGAGCUGGAGGGGGAUCCAUUGGGAGGAGCUGGAGGGGGAUCCAUUGGAAGGAGCUGGAGGGGGAGCCAUUGGAAGGAGCUGGAGGGGGAUCCAUUGGAAGGAGCUGGAGGGGGAUCCAUUGGGAGGAGCUGGAGGGGGAUCCAUUGGAAGGAGCUGGAGGGGGAUCCAUUGGGAGGAGCUGGAGGGGGAUCCAUUGGAAGGAGCUGGAGGGGGAUCCAUUGGAAGGAGCUGGAGGGGGAUCCAUUGGAAGGAACUGGAGGGGGAGCCAUUGGAAGGAGCUGGAGGGGGAGCCAUUGGAAGGAGCUGGAGGGGGAGCCAUUGGGAGGAGCUGGAGGGGGAUCCAUUGGAAGGAGCUGGAGGGGGAGCCCUUGGAAGGAGCUGGAGGGGGAUCCCUUGGAAGGAGCUGGAGGGGGAGCCAUUGGAAGGUGCUGGAGGGGGAGCCCUUGGAAGGAGCUGGAGGGGGAGCCCUUGGAAGGAGCUGGAGGGGGAGCCAUUGGAAGGAGCUGGAGGGGGAGCAAUUAGAAGGGCACUAGAGGAGGAGCCAUUGGAAGGUGCUGGAGGGGGAGCCCUUGGAAGGAGAUGAAGGGGGGUAGUGGCGUGCGGGACAGCUGUGUAUUUGACACAAUCUGCCAUUGCAUUGGUUAGUCCUGUUUGGGAUUAAUUCUGUUCUGAAAAUAUCCAUUAUAUUGCUUAACCAGUAGACUUACUGCAUGUAGCAAUUAUGCUGUAUUACUGUUUACUAUGGUGAAGUCUGUCUAUCUGAUGUCCUUUUAGUGACAAUAACGAUGAUCUUGUCACGUCCUGACCAGUAAAAGGGGUUAUUUGUUAUUGUAGUUUGGUCAGGGCGUGGCAGGGGGUGUUUGUUUUGUGUGUUUCGGUGUUUUUGGUUUAUGUUCUAUGUUAUCUAUUUCUAUGUGUUUAUCUAGUUUUCUAUUUCUAUGUUGGUUUUUGGCAAUGACCUCCAAUUAGAGGCAGCUGGUUGUUGUUGUCUCUAAUUGGAGGCCAUAUUUAGUUGGGUUUGUUUUCUCUUGUGUUUUGUGGGUGGUUGUUUCCAGUAUAGUCUGUGCACCUUACUGGACUGUUUUCGUCGUCAGUUUAUUUUGUUUAAGUGUUUUCUUUAAUAAAGAAAGAAGAUGAGCACUUUACCCGCUGCGUUUUGGUCCAAUCCUUACGACGCCCGUGACAGAACCACCCACCAAACAAAGACCAAACAGCGGGGAUUGGAGCACCAAACAAGGACCAAGCAGUGGGGAUUGGAGCACCAAACAAGGACCAAGCAGCGGGGAUUGGAGCACCGAAGAGAAGGAUGGACGUGGGAGGCAGAACAAUGUUUCUGGGAGAGGAAACUAAGGGAGCUAGAUGAGGCCGAGAGGCAUCCCCCCCCCAAAAAAAAAAUGGGGGGGGGGGCACACGGGGAGUUGGGCAGAGUCAGGAUGGAGACCUGAGCCAACUCCCCAUGCUUAUUAUGCGGAGAUACGCGGAGAUACGCACUGUGUCGCCCAUACGCAUGCACAGUCCGGUGCGGUCAAUAAGGGCUCCGCAACGUUGCCAGGCGAGAGUUAGCCGGCAGCCAGGGAGAAGUGCGCCGGCGCAGCGCAUCUGGCCACCAGUGCAUCUCCUCGGUUCAGUUUACCCUGUUCCUGCUCCUCGCACUAGCCCUGAUGUGCGUGUUACUAGGCUGGCGCCUCCAACACCAGCCCCACGCAUCAGGCCUCAGUGCGCCUGCCCAGUCCAGUACGUCAUGUUCCCGCUCCUCGCACUAGCCCUGAGGUGCGUGUCACUAGUCUGGCUCCUCCAAAGCCAGCCCCACGCAUCAGGCCUCUAGUGCACCUGCCCAGUCCAGUACGUCCAGUUCCUGCUCCCCGCACGAGCCAUGAGGUGCGUGUUACUAGUCUGGCGCCUCCUAAGCCAGCCCCACGCAUCAGGCCUCUAGUGCGCCUGCCCAGUCCAGUACGUCCUGUUCCUGCUCCCUGCACUAGCCAUGAGGUGCGUGUUACUAGUCUGGCGCCUCCAAAGCCAGCCCCACGCCUCAGGCUUCCAGUGCGCCUGCCCAGUCCGGUACGUCCUGUUC